UAUGCACAUUGUUAGAGCUUGGAGUUGAGGUCGCUGGUGGUCGAUGAACUCACAAGUGUUGGUAAUGUGCUACAUGAGGGGAAGUGUUUUGCCAACAACAUAAGGGUCUCUGACCCAGUGAGUGGAAUUUGAAGAUAAUUCUUAAUACAAAU